rnacentral:lncRNA from 1 species
UUUGCAUAACGAAAUAAACAGAGAUACCAUUAGGCAGAGAUGCUGAUAUUGGCGUCUAGAUUUUGUACAGGACUGUUUGUUGUAUGUCAGUAUAUUUACUAAGGCAUAUUCCUCUUCGCGGUAACUUUAGCUUUCCUUUCUCUAUCAAAGGGAACCUUAAUGAAUGGAAGGCUUGAGUCCACGCUCGGCCAUUUAGGUGCUCUUUCCAAAGAUAUGGAGCAUUUCUUCCUUUGCCCUUUAAUGGUCCAUUGUACAUUCACAUCCAUUUCUAAGGUAACAGUCUCAUUUUAGUUCCUAACUUCUUGUACUAGUAACAACCCUAGUGCUUCUUCCUCUGGGACCACAUCCACAAAAACCGGAUUUAGAAUUCAACUUAUGGAGUCGAGUUCGAAAUUCUAUCUAACCCAUUUGAUUUACAAAGUUCGAAAUCUUUUACUUUUAUUUAUUUUGGUAGAUUUUUAAACAUAUAUACAGGAUUUGAACUAAAGACACUGGCUAACUUCUAGCUUACGUCCACCCCUGCCUGCACAGGAGCCAGGAAUGCUAAGAGUGGCAUACAUUCAAACCUGCACGCUGAAGCACUUUUUUUGAGCCACAAUAGCGUCCACACGGAGAAUUCAACAAUUUACAUAUGAAAUUUUUUAUGUUUACUUUAUCUGCAGUAUAGUUUUCAAAUAUAUCAUUUGUACUCUUCAAAUAUGCUGUUAACUCCAUGUUGGGUCCUCCAAAAAGCAUUACUUAUCCGGCAUGCAACUGAUGGCAUAUUUGAAUUGUCCGAGAAGAAUAAGUUUUCAACAAAGGGGAUUCAAUUGAACUCCUUUUCUACCUGCACCGUCCAAAGUUUAUCAAAACCCUAAUAGGUAUCGAAUGUUUAGGGCACAUGGACAUGUGAUAUUUUGCCAUCAGCAUAUGAUGCCAGUCUAAGAAAUGACAGUUACAAGGCUUACGUACACACCAAUAGUACAAAACCCCACUUCCAUUAGCCAUGGGGGACAUUGCUGCUAUAUAUGUUUUAGCUUCCUGUCCCAAAUUAGCUCCCUAUUGAGUACUAUAGUGGUAAUGGACCAAUGGACAUGCAUGUGAUAUAUUCACAGAUAUUAUUGAUCAGUGAUGGAAAAGUGACGCCAUUAGCUGUGAUCUUUGAUGUUGAGAUUUUGAAUGCAAAGAUGAAGGGUUGGGGGAAAAGUCAUCUUAGUACAAUCUUCAUGAUUAUAACAAGUAACAAAAAGGGCCCUCUUCCCCUUUUCCCAUGUUUGAAACAGUUAUUAGAACCAAUUGUUAGAUGGAAUAUGCUAUUUUCAU